CCGACGAGCUCCGGGUUCGAGUCCCGGGCAACCCG
rnacentral:tRNA from 15 species